rnacentral:rRNA from 1 species
GACGAACGCUGGCGGCAUGCUUAACACAUGCAAGUCGAACGGAAAGGCCCUGCUUUUGUGGGGUGCUCGAGUGGCGAACGGGUGAGUAACACGUGGGUAACCUGCCCUUGACUUUGGGAUAACUUCAGGAAACUGGGGCUAAUACCGGAUAGGAGCUCCUGCUGCAUGGUGGGGGUUGGAAAGUUUCGGCGGUUGGGGAUGGACUCGCGGCUUAUCAGCUUGUUGGUGGGGUAGUGGCUUACCAAGGCUUUGACGGGUAGCCGGCCUGAGAGGGUGACCGGCCACAUUGGGACUGAGAUACGGCCCAGACUCCUACGGGAGGCAGCAGUGGGGAAUAUUGCACAAUGGGCGGAAGCCUGAUGCAGCAACGCCGCGUGCGGGAUGACGGCCUUCGGGUUGUAAACCGCUUUCGCCUGUGACGAAGCGUGAGUGACGGUAAUGGGUAAAGAAGCACCGGCUAACUACGUG